rnacentral:rRNA from 1 species
GCAUAUCAAUAAGCGGAGGAAAAGAAACUAACAAGGAUUCCCCUAGUAACGGCGAGUGAAGCGGGAACAGCUCAAAUUUUAAAUCUGGCUGCUUCGCAGUCCGAGUUGUAAUUUGAAGGCGUCUGUCGCAUGUGAGACGAUGGCACAAGUCCUCUGGAACGUGGCAUCGUAGAGGGUGAGAAUCCCGUCUCUGGUCGUUGUCUUGCAGGCACACAACAGGCGAUCCGAAGAGUCGAGUUGUUUGGGAUUGCAGCUCCAAAUGGGUGGUAAACUCCAUCUAAGGCUAAAUAUUGGCGAGAGACCGAUAGCGAACAAGUACCGUGAGGGAAAGAUGAAAAGAACUUUGAAAAGAGAGUAAAACAGUACGUGAAAUUGUUGAAAGGGAAACGCUUGAAGUCAGUCGUGCCGGCGGGGAUUCAGCGAACUUCGCGGAGUGAGCGUAUUUCCUCGCAUGGCAGGUCAGCGUCAGUUUUGCGCGUCGUGAAAGGGCUCGGGUAAGGUGACUCUCUUCGGGGAGUGUUAUAGACCUGAGCAGAUGCGAUGCGCGGGACUGAGGAUUGCAGCGGACACCCUUCGGGGCGCGGCGACCGAUCCCUGCUCUGUCACCUUCGUCCGAUAGCGUGCUAACGGUCGGGGGAGCGGUGGUUGCACCGGGUUGGCAAGCCGGCGGCUUCGCUAAGGAUGCUGACGUAAUGGCUUUAAACGAC